GGAGCUUGCUCCUUUGACGUUAGCGGCGGACGGGUGAGUAACACGUGGAUAACCUACCUAUAAGACUGGGAUAACUUCGGGAAACCGGAGCUAAUACCGGAUAACAUAUUGAACCGCAUGGUUCAAUAGUGAAAGGCGGCUUUGCUGUCACUUAUAGAUGGAUCCGCGCCGUAUUAGCUAGUUGGUAAGGUAACGGCUUACCAAGGCAACGAUACGUAGCCGACCUGAGAGGGUGAUCGGCCACACUGGAACUGAGACACGGUCCAGACUCCUACGGGAGGCAGCAGUAGGGAAUCUUCCGCAAUGGGCGAAAGCCUGACGGAGCAACGCCGCGUGAGUGAUGAAGGUCUUCGGAUCGUAAAACUCUGUUAUCAGGGAAGAACAAAUGUGUAAGUAACUGUGCACAUCUUGACGGUACCUGAUCAGAAAGCCACGGCUAACUACGUGCCAGCAGCCGCGGUAAUACGUAGGUGGCAAGCGUUAUCCGGAAUUAUUGGGCGUAAAGCGCGCGUAGGCGGUUUUUUAAGUCUGAUGUGAAAGCCCACGGCUCAACCGUGGAGGGUCAUUGGAAACUGGAAAACUUGAGUGCAGAAGAGGAAAGUGGAAUUCCAUGUGUAGCGGUGAAAUGCGCAGAGAUA
rnacentral:rRNA from 1 species